rnacentral:lncRNA from 1 species
GGGCGCAUGGGGGACUUUUGGGAUAGCAUUGGAAAUGUAAAUGAAGAAAAUACCUAAUAAAAAUGAAAAAAAAAGAAUUGAAGCAAAACAGAACAUUUUCAUAAUAUAAAUAUUUUUCUGAUCUUUAAUAAUGUAUUUGUUAUUAAUUUAAAUAAAGUAAGUAUACUAAAAAUAAAAUUUAAUACUAACAAAAAUUUUGGAUCAUGAUUCAAAUUAAUACUGAUAUCAUGUAUUCUUUAUUUUAAUUAUUUUACAAGGACGGAACCAGUGUUUUUACUUCAAAUUAUUUGUUUAAGUUAGAUUGGCACAGGGAAGAAAACUCAACAUAAUCAGAUGGAGACAUUAAAAAAAAUCUUUCUAAACUUAUUUUUAUGAAUAGAUGUGUUUGCAAAGCUUCACUAAAUCCAUUGCUAGCUCCUCUGCCAUUGCUAGAGCGUUCAGAUCAUGCAUGAAGCUACCACAGAUCAUGACUCUCCCAUAUAACUCUAAAUACCUGUUGCUGGAAGGCAGUGUGUUAAUUUGUUGUUGUCCACAGUACCUAUAAAUCAACUUGUCAAUCUUUGUCUGUAGUGUCAAUAAAGGGAACAGUUUGACUUCAUAGAGCAGAUAAAUUUACCUUCAUUUACAGCUUUAAAUCUUCCCAGGACUCUCUGGAGUUAUUGGAAUAACUUGGUACCAUUCUCCAUUUUUCCUUAAAUGUCUUCAAGUAAUACAAAGACGGAAUAUACCGAGCAAUGUUUAUAUAAAAUUUAUGGAAGAGUUAAGAUUCUAAUAUAGAAAAGAUAACAAUUUAAUACAUAAUGAUAUCAUUAAUCACUGUCACCUUGAGUCCUGUCAUUUUCAUAUUUUCACAUACUGCAGUAUUUGAAAAAUGAUAUACAGCUACAAAAGAGAAAACUGCAAGCACCUAACAUCAUCAUGUUUUCACUUCUAAAACCAGUUACAUUAAUCAUAAAGAAUUCUAGGACUAAGUGAUAUUUUUUAUUCCCUACACACUCUCAAAUCAUAAACAAUGAAAAUAUAAAGGAAAUAAAAUAAGUAGCAACGAUCUCACACAUGUUCACAUACAUUAAAAUUUUUAAAAAAUCACUGAACUCUAACUGGUAAUAAAACCUUUUUCUGUGGUGCUUAAGAGUAAACGCAGAGUUUUGUAAAGUUGAAGCAAGAACUCUCCUAGCUGCAUGAAAUUAAAUAUUAGGAAGUAUUAGGAAUACUUUCUAUGAUAUUAUUCUUUAAUGUC